AAAUAAGAAGCAAAAAUUGCAUUUAAUUUCGACUUAAAAAUUUGGCUAUAUAGCCCUUAUUUUUAAU
rnacentral:tRNA from 1 species